rnacentral:rRNA from 1 species
UACGGAGGGAGCUAGCGUUGUUCGGAUAUACUGGGCGUAAAGCGCACGUAGGCGGCGCAGCAAGUCAGGGGUGAAAUCCCGGAGCUCAACUCCGGAACUGCCUUUGAAACUGCAGUGCUAGAAUCCUGGAGAGGCGAGUGGAAUUCCGAGUGUAGAGGUGAAAUUCGUAGAUAUUCGGAAGAACACCAGUGGCGAAGGCGACUCGCUGGACAGGUAUUGACGCUGAGGUGCGAAAGCUAGGGGAGCAAACGGG